rnacentral:rRNA from 1 species
AGAGUUUGAUCAUGGCUCAGGACGAACGCUGGCGGCGUGCUUAACACAUGCAAGUCGAGCGGAAAGGCCCCUUCGGGGGUACUCGAGCGGCGAACGGGUGAGUAACACGUGAGCAACCUGCCCCUGACUCUGGGAUAAGCCCGGGAAACUGGGUCUAAUACCGGAUAUGACCAGCCUCCGCAUGGUGUGCUGGUGGAAAGUUUUUCGGUUGGGGAUGGGCUCGCGGCCUAUCAGCUUGUUGGUGGGGUGAUGGCCUACCAAGGCGACGACGGGUAACCGGCCUGAGAGGGCGACCGGUCACACUGGGACUGAGACACGGCCCAGACUCCUACGGGAGGCAGCAGUGGGGAAUAUUGCGCAAUGGGCGGAAGCCUGACGCAGCGACGCCGCGUGAGGGAUGACGGCCUUCGGGUUGUAAACCUCUUUCAGCAGGGACGAAGCUAACGUGACGGUACCUGCAGAAGAAGCGCCGGCUAACUACGUGCCAGCAGCCGCGGUAAUACGUAGGGCGCAAGCGUUGUCCGGAAUUAUUGGGCGUAAAGAGCUCGUAGGCGGUUUGUCGCGUCUGUCGUGAAAGCCCACGGCUUAACCGUGGGUCUGCGGUGGAUACGGGCAGACUAGAGGCAGGUAGGGGAGAAUGGAAUUCCCGGUGUAGCGGCGAAAUGCGCAGAUAUCGGGAGGAACACCGGUGGCGAAGGCGGUUCUCUGGGCCUGUACUGACGCUG